CCGCCUGCCUCAGCCUCCCACAGUGCUGGGAUUACCGGCGAGAGCCUCCGGAGGCCACAGUGCUGGGAUUACCGGCGAAAGCCUCCGCAUCCGACCCCUUUGGCUCUUUAGCUGGGCACUUGCUCAGACAGAAAGACUAUAAUUUUUAGCUUCCUUAGCAGCUAGGUGUGGUCUCAUGAUACAUUCUGCCCAGUGCGAUAGAAAUGGGCAAACAGCAUGCGACCUUCAAAAUAUGACCUUAAAGAAAGAAGUAAUGCCUUCUCCUUUGUUGGCUGGAAAGACUGCGUGUAGACUUGAUGGCUGGAGCUCAAGCAGCCGUCUUGAACCAUGAGGAUGAAGCCACAUGCCCAUCACAUCUGAAAGGCCUCAAGGCCUUUGGGUGAGAUGGCACGGGCAAGGCAACUAUCCUCAACUAUACCACCUAACAGGCAACUGAGUGUCCCAGGCAUACGUUAAAGAGACUGGUGGUUUUUUAGCAUUACCCAGAUGGUCAGUGUCACCACUCGGGAAGGAGAUAUGAAGUCCCCACGUCCAAGUUCUUAGCCCAGAGAGACAGGCUGCUGCUCUGCUUGUGAAUUUACUACUCAUCUGCACAGACAUGCUACUCCCUCCCCGCAAAGUCUCCCGUCAGCUUCCCAACCAGACUCUGCUGCAACUUGUCUCAGCCACACAUGUGGAGUUUUACCUGCCAUCACCUCAGGUGACUGGAAGAACUCAUCUGGGUGCACAUAGCCCGUCUGCGGAAGGAGACACCACAGCACUCGGAGCAGGCCGAGGCCACCCCAAAGCACCCUGACUGCCAUCUUCAGAUCCAGUUGUUGCCAACACACCGGGCCCAAAACCUGGAAUGAUGUCCCAGCUGCUACAGAUGCCACGCUGGAUCCACAGAUCUGCAUCUGUUGAGGAAAACACUUGUUGGUUAUCACGAUGUAAAUUACAAUAUAUCCAACUGUCUGAA